rnacentral:rRNA from 1 species
UCGGAUCUGGGCGUAAGGGUGCGUAGGCGGCUAUGUGUGUSWGGCGUGAAAUCCCGCGGGCUUAACCGCGGAAUUGCGCYUSAUACUAGCAUCGUCUUGAGCAUUGGAUAGGGUAGCAGAACUUCACGGUGUAGCAGUGAAAUGCGUAGAUAUCGUGAGGAAUUGGCGGGGGAGCACAA